rnacentral:rRNA from 2 species
GGUCUGAGAGGAUGAUCAGCCACAUUGGGACUGAGACACGGCCCAAACUCCUACGGGAGGCAGCAGUGGGGAAUCUUGCGCAAUGGGCGAAAGCCUGACGCAGCCAUGCCGCGUGAAUGAUGAAGGUCUUAGGAUUGUAAAAUUCUUUCACCGGGGACGAUAAUGACGGUACCCGGAGAAGAAGCCCCGGCUAACUUCGUGCCAGCAGCCGCGGUAAUACGAAGGGGGCUAGCGUUGCUCGGAAUUACUGGGCGUAAAGGGAGCGUAGGCGGACAUUUAAGUCAGGGGUGAAAUCCCGGGGCUCAACCUCGGAAUUGCCUUUGAUACUGGGUGUCUUGAGUAUGAGAGAGGUGU